GUCUCUUCAAAGACAUUCGAUAAAACUGGAACGAUACAUAGAAUAUUAGCAUGGCCCCUGCACAAGGAUGACACACACAAAUUGAGAAAUGGUCCAAUUUUUU
rfam:Picea glauca, whole genome shotgun sequence.